rnacentral:rRNA from 1 species
UACGGGGGGGAGCAAGCGUUGUUCGGAUUUACUGGGCGUAAAGGGCGCGUAGGCGGUCAGCACAAGUCAGUUGUGAAAUCUCCGGGCUUAACUCGGAAAGGUCAACUGAUACUGUGCGACUAGAGUGCGGAAGGGGCAACUGGAAUUCUCGGUGUAGCGGUGAAAUGCGUAGAUAUCAGGAGGAACACCGGUGGCGAAGGCGGGUCUCUGGGCAGUAACUGACGCUGAGGAGCGAAAGCGUGGGGAGCGAACAGG